UACAGAGGGGGCAAGCGUUGUUCGGAAUUACUGGGCGUAAAGGGCGCGUAGGCGGCCUGUUAAGUCGAACGUGAAAUCCCCGGGCUCAACCCAGGAACUGCGUCCGAUACUGGCAGGCUUGAAUUCGGGAGAGGGAUGUGGAAUUCCAGGUGUAGCGGUGAAAUGCGUAGAGAUGUGGAGGAACACCGAUGGCGAAGGCAGCCCCCUGGGCUAACACUGACGCUCAGGCACGAAAGCGUGGGGAGCAAACAGG
rnacentral:rRNA from 1 species